UCCGAUUUAUCAUCGGCAGUCUCGUUAGAGUGCCCAACUUAAUGCUGGCAACUAACAAUAGGGGUUGCGCUCGUUGCGGGACUUAACCCAACAUCUCACGACACGAGCUGACGACGGCCAUGCAACACCUGUACGUACCCGGCCGAACCGAAGAAAUCUGUUUCCAGAAAUCAUAAUACGUAUGUCAAGGGCAGGUAAGGUUCCUCGUGUAUCAUCGAAUUAAACAACAUGCUCCACCGCUUGUGCGGGUCCCCGUCAAUUCCUUUGAGUUUUAAUCUUGCGAUCGUAAUCCCCAGGCGGUGUGCUUAUCGCGUUAGCUUGGCCACCUAUACGUAAACGUACCGAUAGCGAGCACACAUCGUUUAGGGCGUGGACUAC
rnacentral:misc_RNA from 1 species